AGACCAUGAUGGGGACAACACUUAAGCAAUUCUUUAUAUCUUUCCCAAGCUUCAUAAAAUGAUUCCGACUCUUGUUGCAAGAAUAAUGUGAUGUCAUUUUCCAUUUU
rnacentral:snoRNA from 1 species